CAAACUAUAAUAUGAGAGGUAUGUUUGCUUCUUCUUCAUCUUCUUCUGCUGACCUCGAACAAGUUGAUUUUAUGGGAAAUGCGCCCAGGUAGCAGAAUAACCCGUACAGUAAUACAUAGAACUUAGGGUGGAGAAACCGUCCCAACUUCGGGUGGCGAAAUAACAACUCCCAGGGUCCACUAGGAUUUUAGUGGUUAUGCCAGCAGCAAU
rnacentral:lncRNA from 1 species